rnacentral:rRNA from 1 species
UACGUAGGGGGCAAGCGUUGUCCGGAUUUAUUGGGCGUAAAGAGCGUGUAGGCGGUUUGGUAGGUCCGCUGUGAAAACUCGAGGCUCAACCUCGAGACGCCGGUGGAAACCAUCAGGCUAGAGUCCGGAAGAGGAGAGUGGAAUUCCUGGUGUAGCGGUGAAAUGCGCAGAUAUCAGGAGGAACACCGGUGGCGAAGGCGGGUCUCUGGGCCGAAACUGACGCUGGAGGAGCGAAAGCGUGGGGAGCAAACAGG